rnacentral:rRNA from 2 species
GGGUUGUGAGGUUAAGCGACUAAGCGUACACGGUGGAUGCCCUGGCAGUCAGAGGCGAUGAAGGACGUGCUAAUCUGCGAAAAGCGCCGGCGAGGUGAUAUGAACCUUUGACCCGGCGAUGUCCGAAUGGGGAAACCCAGUGUGUUCCGACACACUAUCGUUAACUGAAUACAUAGGUUAACGAGGCGAACCGGGGGAACUGAAACAUCUAAGUACCCCGAGGAAAAGAAAUCAACCGAGAUUCCCCCAGUAGCGGCGAGCGAACGGGGAGCAGCCCAGAGUCUGAAUCAGCUUGUGUGUUAGUGGAAGCGUCUGGAAAGUCGCACGGUACAGGGUGACAGUCCCGUACACGAAAGCACACAGGCUGUGAACUCGAAGAGUAGGGCGGGACACGUGGUAUCCUGUCUGAAUAUGGGGGGACCAUCCUCCAAGGCUAAAUACUCCUGACUGACCGAUAGUGAACCAGUACCGUGAGGGAAAGGCGAAAAGAACCCCGGCGAGGGGAGUGAAAAAGAACCUGAAACCGUGUACGUACAAGCAGUGGGAGCCUCUUUAUGGGGUGACUGCGUACCUUUUGUAUAAUGGGUCAGCGACUUAUAUUCUGUAGCAAGGUUAACCGUAUAGGGGAGCCGAAGGGAAACCGAGUCUUAACUGGGCGUUAAGUUGCAGGGUAUAGACCCGAAACCCGGUGAUCUAGCCAUGGGCAGGUUGAAGGUUGGGUAACACUAACUGGAGGACCGAACCGACUAAUGUUGAAAAAUUAGCGGAUGACUUGUGGCUGGGGGUGAAAGGCCAAUCAAACCGGGAGAUAGCUGGUUCUCCCCGAAAGCUAUUUAGGUAGCGCCUCGUGAACUCAUCUUCGGGGGUAGAGCACUGUUUCGGCUAGGGGGCCAUCCCGGCUUACCAACCCGAUGCAAACUACGAAUACCGAAGAAUGUUAUCACGGGAGACACACGGCGGGUGCUAACGUCCGUCGUGAAGAGGGAAACAACCCAGACCGCCAGCUAAGGUCCCAAAGUCAUGGUUAAGUGGGAAACGAUGUGGGAAGGCACAGACAGCCAGGAUGUUGGCUUAGAAGCAGCCAUCAUUUAAAGAAAGCGUAAUAGCUCACUGGUCGAGUCGGCCUGCGCGGAAGAUGUAACGGGGCUAAACCAUGCACCGAAGCUGCGGCAGCGACGCUUAUGCGUUGUUGGGUAGGGGAGCGUUCUGUAAGCCGUUGAAGGUGUCCUGUGAGGGGUGCUGGAGGUAUCAGAAGUGCGAAUGCUGACAUAAGUAACGAUAAAGCGGGUGAAAAGCCCGCUCGCCGGAAGACCAAGGGUUCCUGUCCAACGUUAAUCGGGGCAGGGUGAGUCGACCCCUAAGGCGAGGCCGAAAGGCGUAGUCGAUGGGAAACAGGUUAAUAUUCCUGUACUUGGUGUUACUGCGAAGGGGGGACGGAGAAGGCUAUGUUAGCCGGGCGACGGUUGUCCCGGUUUAAGCAUGUAGGCGGAGGUUCCAGGUAAAUCCGGUUCCUUGUUAACGCUGAGGUGUGAUGACGAGGCACUACGGUGCUGAAGUAACAAAUGCCCUGCUUCCAGGAAAAGCCUCUAAGCAUCAGGUAACACGAAAUCGUACCCCAAACCGACACAGGUGGUCAGGUAGAGAAUACCAAGGCGCUUGAGAGAACUCGGGUGAAGGAACUAGGCAAAAUGGUGCCGUAACUUCGGGAGAAGGCACGCUGAUAUGUAGGUGAAGCCCCUGCGGGUGGAGCUGAAAUCAGUCGAAGAUACCAGCUGGCUGCAACUGUUUAUUAAAAACACAGCACUGUGCAAACACGAAAGUGGACGUAUACGGUGUGACGCCUGCCCGGUGCCGGAAGGUUAAUUGAUGGGGUUAGCGGUAACGCGAAGCUCUUGAUCGAAGCCCCGGUAAACGGCGGCCGUAACUAUAACGGUCCUAAGGUAGCGAAAUUCCUUGUCGGGUAAGUUCCGACCUGCACGAAUGGCGUAAUGAUGGCCAGGCUGUCUCCACCCGAGACUCAGUGAAAUUGAACUCGCUGUGAAGAUGCAGUGUACCCGCGGCAAGACGGAAAGACCCCGUGAACCUUUACUAUAGCUUGACACUGAACACUGGUCCUUGAUGUGUAGGAUAGGUGGGAGGCUUUGAAGCGUGGACGCCAGUCUGCGUGGAGCCAACCUUGAAAUACCACCCUUUAAUGGCUGGUGUUCUAACGUAGACCCGUAAUCCGGGUUGCGGACAGUGUCUGGUGGGUAGUUUGACUGGGGCGGUCUCCUCCCAAAGAGUAACGGAGGAGCACGAAGGUUAGCUAAUCCUGGUCGGACAUCAGGAGGUUAGUGCAAUGGCAUAAGCUAGCUUGACUGCGAGAGUGACGGCUCGAGCAGGUGCGAAAGCAGGUCAUAGUGAUCCGGUGGUUCUGAAUGGAAGGGCCAUCGCUCAACGGAUAAAAGGUACUCCGGGGAUAACAGGCUGAUACCGCCCAAGAGUUCAUAUCGACGGCGGUGUUUGGCACCUCGAUGUCGGCUCAUCACAUCCUGGGGCUGAAGUAGGUCCCAAGGGUAUGGCUGUUCGCCAUUUAAAGUGGUACGCGAGCUGGGUUUAGAACGUCGUGAGACAGUUCGGUCCCUAUCUGCCGUGGGCGCUGGAGAAUUGAGGGGGGCUGCUCCUAGUACGAGAGGACCGGAGUGGACGCAUCACUGGUGUUCGGGUUGUCAUGCCAAUGGCACUGCCCGGUAGCUAAAUGCGGAAGAGAUAAGUGCUGAAAGCAUCUAAGCACGAAACUUGCCCCGAGAUGAGUUCUCCCUGAGACUUUAAGUCUCCUGAAGGAACGUUGAAGACUACGACGUUGAUAGGUCGGGUGUGUAAGCGCAGCGAUGCGUUGAGCUAACCGAUACUAAUGAACCGUGAGGCUUAACCUUACAACGCCGAAGGAG